UGAGAGCAGUCUGAUCAGCCAUGCCGCGUGCAGGAUGAAGGCCUUCUGCGUUGUAAACUGCUUUUGCCAGGGAAUAAAAUGACCGUGCGCGGUUAAUUGAAGGUACCUGGUGAAUAAGCCACGGCUAACUACGUGCCAGCAGCCGCGGUAAUACGUAGGUGGCAAGCGUUGUCCGGAUUUAUUGGGUUUAAAGGGUGCGUAGGCGGCCCUGUAAGUCAGUGGUGAAAUAUCUCAGCUUAACUGAAAGGGUGCCAUUGAUACUGCAGGGCUUGAGUACAGAUGAGGUAGGCGGAAUUGACGGUGUAGCGGUGAAAUGCAUAGAUAUCGUCAAGAACACCGAUAGCGAAGGCAGCUUACCAAGCUGUAACUGACACUGAGGCACGAAAGUGUGGGGAUCAAACAGGAUUAGAUACCCUGGUAGUCCACACUGUAAACGUUGAUGACUCGAUGUUGGCGAUACACAGCCAGCGUCCUAGAGCAAUCGUUAAGUCAUCCACCUGGGGAGUACGCCGGCAACGGUGAAACUCAAAGAAAUUUGACAGAAAUGCA
rnacentral:rRNA from 1 species